rnacentral:rRNA from 1 species
UACAUAGGUGGCAAGCGUUGUCCGGAAUAACUGGGUGUAAAGGGCGAGUAGGUGGGAUGAGAAGUCAGAUGUGAAAUUUGUUGGCUCAACCAAUAAGCUGCAUCUGAAACUGACACUCUUGAGUGCUGGAGAGGGAAGCGGAAUUCCUAGUGUAGCGGUGAAAUGCGUAGAUAUUAGGAGGAACACCAGUGGCGAAGGCGGCUUUCUGGACAGUAACUGACACUGAGGCGCGAAAGCGUGGGGAGCGAAC